AGCUUCUUGCACGACUCUCACUGGGUGACUGUGAGCUCCUGGCCAACUCUGGCCCCUGCGCUUGGGGCCAGGCUUUCCUGACAGAGGGGCGCCCUGAAAGGAGGCCCCGCUCUUGAAAGUAUUGACUACUUCAAUCUGCAAUGGAGGAGAGAACGAGACAAGUUGCGAGAACAGACACAACAGCUACAUGACUGACAGGCACCACGUCACGAGAACAGCCGCAGCCACGGCAACAAUGACAGUGUCACUUAAAUUAAAACAAAAAAUACCAGAUAUACUCCAA